rnacentral:misc_RNA from 1 species
UUAACUAUUAUAUAGUACUCAGACAUCACUAAACAAAACGAGUUUGGGUCCUCUGGCAGGCGCAGUCAGCCGGAGCCGACGCCUAAAAGGCGGCCUGCCAAAGCAACAAAGGAAUGUAUACACGGUUUGGGAAUAGAACCCAUUUCAAAAAACGGGGCGUUCUUUAAUGAUCCUUCCGCAGGUUCACCUACGGAAA